UACAGAGGGUGCAAGCGUUGUUCGGAAUUACUGGGCGUAAAGCGCGCGUAGGCGGACCUGCAAGUCGGGGGGUGAAAGCCCGAGGCUCAACCUCGGAACUGCCUUCGAUACUGCGGGUCUCGAGUCCGGGAGAGGUGAGUGGAAUUCCUAGUGUAGAGGUGAAAUUCGUAGAUAUUAGGAAGAACACCAGUGGCGAAGGCGGCUCACUGGCUCGGUACUGACGCUGAGGCGCGAAAGCGUGGGGAGCAAACGGG
rnacentral:rRNA from 1 species